rnacentral:lncRNA from 1 species
AUGGGCAGAAUGGUUAUUAUCAGGUCGCUUUUACAGAUGAAGCCCAGGGAGGGCAAGCAGGUGGGCCAGGACAACCCAGAGAGGAAGGGGCGCCACUGGCCCCUCGCCAAGCCUGCCGGAUCCCAUCCCUGCCCUCUCUGCUGCUCCUUCCUGAUGCCACCGAGAGCCAGGACCUUCCUGAGCCAAAGGCUGUGCCCCCGCUUGCCCCCAGCUAGGGUUCUUGGUUGCUGGGAAGAGGGGUGGCAGCAAGGCCAUUGCGGGCCCUUUCUCACCCCCAUCUCCCCUGCAGAGACCUGGCCAGAAAUAGUCCUGUCCAUCCUCACCGCGGGUUCCCACCUUGGCCGCUUGCCGUGCUCAGCUGUGCAUGUCCUCUCCCGGCUCAUCUGUCGGGGACAGGACUGGAGCCACGCAUGCCAUGCCUCCCAUUUUCCCGUCAGUCACCUGUCCUGCCAUCCCCCACCCCCAUCCCUUGCUGAGGCUCCUCUGGCAGCGCCUGGGGUUCCUGCCCAUCUCGUUGCUGAGCCCAGAAAGCUGCCCCUUCGGGUCCCAUUGUCCUGGCCAGCUUCCUUCGGAGGCCCCAGCAGCAGCUCACAGGCUGUACUGAGGCCGGGUCCCCUCAGGGAUGCCGCCCUGCCCGCCCGGGUCUGUGGUGCCUUCUCCCUGCCCGCCCGGGUCUGCAGUGCCUUCUCCCUGCCCGCUUCCCACCCGGGCCCACUGGCGGCCAUGUUCAGCCUCCAAAGGCCUCUCCCAUCUCUCACUCCUCUGCUGCUAGACCACCCAGGUCUCCCCACGACCUGCAGGGAGAGACCCCUUCAUCUGCUGAACUCUCCUCCUCUCCUGGCGCAGCCCCGCCUACUCCUCAAAGUAGCUGACUCCCCCCACAUCCACGCCCCCGCCCCAUCUCGCUCUCCUCUAAGCCGGUGUCCACUGUGUUUGGCUCAGGGCCUGAAACACCAUCCACCGCAAGGCCAGAAAGCCUGGGUGGAGCCCCGAGCUGCUGCGUGA